CUAUGAGUGUGGCCCGCACAAAAUAGUAAAUUUACUUAAAACAUUAUUUAGUUUUAUACUAAGUUUUAUUACUUAGAUAUGUACAUUUUCUAUAUUAGUGAUCACAAACUUGGGACCUGCUUGAUGAUUUUCAAAGAUUAUCAAAAGGGCUGUUGCAUAAUUAGGGUUAUUAUGUGAAGACAUUUUUGCAUAUCUGUGGUAGUAGAUGUCA